GUGUUAGUAAUCAGGUGCUCUCAAUAUAGGAAGACUACCAUGGAUUACCAGCGCAGGCUGAAUGUAAUUACAUGAGCCUUUAAAAGCCUAAGAAAUCUGCCAUGUGGAUGAAGCAGAAGAAUUCAGAAGGACUCAAAGCAUGAAAAUGAUUCAGAGAGCUUACAUUUUCCUUCCCUUGUUCCAUAAGCAAGAGUCUAUCUUUGUUGGCUUUGAUGAUAAAGGGACCACAAUCCAAAGAAUGCUAAUAGCCCCUAAAACUGAGAAUGAUCCCUGGUUCACAGCCAGCAAGAAAACGAGAGAAUUCAGUCUUACAACAGCAAGAAAUGGGAUUUAACCAGCCAGCUAAGUAAGUUUGGAAGUGGAUUUUCUUCCAGAGCACACCUGUAAGUGCCUAUCUGGCUGACACCUUGAUUUCAUCUUUCUAAAACCCCAAGCAAAGGACCCAUUGAGCUCAGCAUGGACAUCUGACUGACAGAACUGAAAGAUAAUAAAUGCAUGUUAUUAUAAGCUAAGAAGUUUUUGUUAAUUUGUUUUGGUAGCAAUAGAAAACUCCUACAGCAGAAGAGAAAGGGAACUUAAAUAGAUGUUGGAGAUAUAAACAUAAUAAAGAUUUCAGAGACAUAGGGCAAUGUAGCUAUAUGCUGAAAAGAAAUUGGAGGAAGAGUUUUGGGAUCCAAGAUUUUGGAAAGAGAGAAAAGGAGUACAUACUAAACUGAAACGAUUGUUAAAGUGAUUUCUGCUAUGAGCCGUGCUUCUUCAGAUGUGAAUGACUUUAUUCAGAGAGAUCUAGAGGGAGCCUGGGAAAUAUUUAGUUUAUAUAGGAGAAACUGGAGUUGGAGAAAGAAUAAACAUAAUAAACAGAAGACAUUUUGAUAAUCCAGAAAUAAACGAUUUACUCUAGAACUGACAUGGUAAGAAUGGCAAUAAAGAGAUUAGGCCCUGUUAUAGAUAAAUCAAAUACUUACUGUGAAAGAUUGCCAACCUUGCAUACUUAGGAAAUUUACAUUAGUGGUAUCAUCUGGCUCUGUGUCUCCGCCCUAGUCUCCUCUUGAAUUGUAAUCCCCAAUUACAAUUGGGGAUUGUAAUUUGGGGGAGGAACCUCUUGGGAAGUGAUUGGAUCAUGGGGGUGGUUCCCCAUGCUCUUCUUGUGCUAGUGAGUGAGUUCUCACGAGAUCUGAUAGUUUUAUAAGGGGCUCUUCCGCCUUUGCUUUGCAUUUCUUUCUCUUGCUUCCUUGUGAAGAGAGAUGUGUUUCCUCCCGUUUCCACUAUGAUUUUAAGUUUCCUGAGGCCUCCCCAACCAUCUCAGUGGAACGGCCGGAGCAUGUAAUUGCUGGAGUGGGAUCCUUCAUGGAUUUCUCUUAUCCUGGCAUUGACAAUGAUAGAAGAGGAGGCCCCUCCUUCUACCUGGGUAACUGUGAUUAACAGACACAGAAUGGACGUGUGCUGAGAAAGAAAUCGUUGCUAUGUUAAGAUAAGCACAACAAAGCCACCUGAUUACAGUGAACAGAUUACUAGGAAGUCGAAGACUGUUUCUGCAUCUGGGGGCUGUAAUUAGAUCUCCUGGUUUAUUUCCAACCAGGCAAUUUUAUGCUAGUGGUUUGAAUAAUGCAGUUGCAAAAUUAAAGUAUCACUAAAAGAAAAUGAAAUAUUUUAAUAUUGAUAUACAUUCAUUUUAAUAAACACUGUGACAGAAACAUUAUA
rnacentral:lncRNA from 10 species